rnacentral:rRNA from 1 species
AGCGAACGCUGGCGGCAGGCCUAACACAUGCAAGUCGAACGAUCCUUCGGGAUAGUGGCGGACGGGUGAGUAACACGUGGGAACGUACCUUUAAGUUCGGGAUAACUCAGGGAAACUUGAGCAAAUACCGGAUGUGCCAUUCGGGGGAAAGAUUUAUCGCCUUUAGAGCGGCCCGCGUUAGAUUAGCUAGUUGGUGAGGUAAAGGCUCACCAAGGCUCCGAUCUAUAGCUGGUCUGAGAGGAUGAUCAGCCACACUGGGACUGAGACACGGCCCAGACUCCUACGGGAGGCAGCAGUGGGGAAUCUUGCGCAAUGGGCGAAAGCCUGACGCAGCCAUGCCGCGUGAAUGAUGAAGGUCUUAGGAUUGUAAAAUUCUUUUAGCAGGGACGAUAAUGACGGUACCUGCAGAAAAAGCCCCGGCUAACUUCGUGCCAGCCGCCGCGGUAA